rnacentral:rRNA from 1 species
UACGGAGGAUCCAAGCGUUAUCCGGAUUUAUUGGGUUUAAAGGGUGCGUAGGCGGCUUAUUAAGUCAGGGGUGAAAGACGGUGGCUCAACCAUCGCAGUGCCUUUGAUACUGAUGAGCUUGAAUACACCUGAGGUAGGCGGAAUGUGACAAGUAGCGGUGAAAUGCAUAGAUAUGUCACAGAACACCGAUUGCGAAGGCAGCUUACUAAAGUGUAAUUGACGCUGAGGCACGAAAGCGUGGGGAUCAAACAGG